rnacentral:rRNA from 1 species
UACGUAGGGUGCAAGCGUUAAUCGGAAUUACUGGGCGUAAGGCGUGCGCAGGCGGUUCGCUAAGACCGAUGUGAAAUCCCCGGGCUUAACCUGGGAACUGCAUUGGUGACUGGCGGGCUAGAGUAUGGCAGAGGGGGGUAGAAUUCCACGUGUAGCAGUGAAAUGCGUAGAGAUGUGGAGGAAUACCGAUGGCGAAGGCAGCCCCCUGGGCCAAUACUGACGCUCAUGCACGAAAGCGUGGGGAGCAAACAGG